CCAUAUGGGGACACAAGAGUAGCUUAUCAAUCUAGCUAUUAAUCAGGCUCUAAAUGCCACAAAGUGACACAAGCGUUGCUUAUCAAUCUCGCAAUUAAUUUGGCUGUAAAUGCCACAGAGGGACACAAGCAUAGCUAUUGAAAAAGCUAUGGAUUAGGCUCUACCUACAUGCCACACAGGGACACAAGCAUAGCUAUCAAACAAGCUAUGGAUUUGGCUCUAUAAAUGUCACACAAGGACACAAUCUAUGGAUUCAGCCCUAAAUCCCACAAAAGGACACAAGUUUAGCUAUCGAACAAGCUAUGGAUUUGGCUCUAAAGGCCUCAAAAGGACACAAGCAUUGGCUAUUUAUCAAGCCCUUAAACAAUCUCUACCCUAAACGAGGUUUGGGGGAGAAAGUAGCAGCCCUGAACUUGCUGUACUGGAUUCUACAGAUCUUAUGUGCCCUGGUAGCUUGGAUGUCUGUUGCAAGGUAAAUUUAAAGGGAGUGUUCAUCUAGAAGUACACGAUGUAUCUUAGUAAAUUCCACUCUUAUUGUAGAUUUUAAGAAUUUUUU